rnacentral:tRNA from 1 species
GGGGGUAUAGCUCAAUGGUAGAGCACUUAUCUAAUAUGCACAAGACCCUGGGUUUAAUCCCCAGCACCACCA